UACGGAGGGGGCUAGCGUUGUUCGGAAUUACUGGGCGUAAAGCGCACGUAGGCGGCUUUGCAAGUUAGAGGUGAAAGCCCGGGGCUCAACUCCGGAAUUGCCCUUGAAACUAGAGGACUUGGGUACGGGAGAGGUGAGUGGAAUUCCGAGUGUAGAGGUGAAAUUCGUAGAUAUUCGGAAGAACACCAGUGGCGAAGGCGGCUCACUGGCCCGUUACCGACGCUCAGGCGCGACAGCGUGGGGAGCAAACAGG
rnacentral:rRNA from 1 species